GCCGUUCGCGUGGCUUUUAACCACGUGGUCGUGGGUUCGAUCCCCACGGACGGCG
rnacentral:tRNA from 1 species